UACGGAGGGUGCAAGCGUUAUCCGGAUUUAUUGGGUUUAAAGGGUCCGUAGGCGGGCGAUUAAGUCAGUGGUGAAAUCUCACAGCUCAACUGUGAAACUGCCAUUGAUACUGUUAGUCUUGAAUUUAGUUGAGGUGGGCGGAAUACGUUAUGUAGCGGUGAAAUGCAUAGAUAUAACGUAGAACACCGAUUGCGAAGGCAGCUCACUAAGCUAACAUUGACGCUCAUGUACGAAAGCGUGGGGAGCAAACGGG
rnacentral:rRNA from 1 species